rnacentral:rRNA from 1 species
GACGAACGCUGUCGGCGUGCUUAACACAUGCAAGUCGAGCGGAGCGGCGAACGGGUGAGGAACGCGUGAGUAACUGCACCCCUCUCUGGGAUAACAGUUGGAAACGGCUGCUAAUCACGGAUAGUGGGGGCUGACUCGCGUCCUAUGAGCUUGUUGGUGGGGUAGGGGCCUACCAAGGCGACGACGGGUAGCCGGCCUGACAGGGCGACCGGCCACAUUGGGCUGAGAUACGGCCCGAACUCCUACGGGAGGCAGCAGUGAGGAAUAUUGCACAAUGGGAGAAACCCUGAUGCAGCAACGCGCGUGCGGGAUGACGGCCUUCGGGUUGUAAGCCGCUUUCAGCCAUGACGCGUUAGUGGCAGAAGAAGCACCGGCUAACUACGUGCCAGCCGCCGCGGUAAUAC